rnacentral:lncRNA from 1 species
GAUUUCCGCUGAUGAGCCCUUCUAUCCCUUUGUCCACCCACCUUUCCUCCUAGCUCCCCGAACCUUAAAUAGCCAUAAGUCGUUCAUAUACGCAGCAAGCAAGUCGCAAGUUUAGUUUUACCCCGAUCACCGUCGUCACGAGUAAGGAGUGUACGAGAAAGUACGAAGAGAAGUGUAAAGUGUUCUAAUCGACAGAGGAAGACCUGGACGAUUAAUAAGCCAAACGCCCCGAAUCGUCCCUGGUUCGCCGCGUGCUACGGCACGGUCAAAAGCGUGAUUAAGCCAAAACUAUCGUAAGUGAUUAAGCGCUAAAACAGUUAAAUCGUUUUUAAAGUUGAACCAAUCAAUUAAAUAGGUGCGGACGUCACCAUCGCACUGAACCAGCAAGUCGCCGUCGGCGACUUCGCCGCUGUUAGGGCAUAUCCAAGCAGUAAGUUCACUUAAAUAGUAGAAUUGAUUCGAAAUUAACAGUAGACACGACAUUAAAGGUUUCGUUAUUAGACGGUGAUCGAAAGUGAGAAAGAUUGUAAAGUUCUCCCCAGAAGCCAACUAAGAAGAAGGUAACUUGCGACCAGGUAGAAUUGCGGUUAAGUAAGUGCUAAGAUAACCCUCUCAUUCAAAGGUUGACGUGCGGGGCUCAAAGAGCGCGGCGCGCACGCGCACGUGGCAACGCGAUAAUUUCGCACCCGGGCUGACUAAGCCCGCGCACAGCACGUGCCGGCAAGUACGACUCGUGCCAUCAGCUUCCAGCAACCUGACCACGUGUAGCGCUACUAACAGCAUCGAUUAAGCCCCCCGCGAGGUCAAGGCAAUAACGCGUCGUUCACGCGUGCAGCGCCGGUUCCCGUAGGAGUCCACAUUGCCGACUCUGAGCCAAAGGGCCACGGCGCACGUGAGUUUUGCUCUCCGUAGGAGGCCGAGCCAAACCCUCUGAGCAAAGGAAGCAACGACUCGCACGAACGGCAACAGCGUUACCCUUAACCACCUCGCCAAGCAACGUCAACGCGCACGAUCGAAACGGCCAGACAGCCGCCGGCCAAGGCCCGCGAUACGUGAUCGCCUCGUGAAGGAAUCGUUUCUCUGCCAGCUGUACGUGAAGUACCAUUGGGUCCAGCGCGUCGUCACACGUGCCUGGCGUCAGACCUGUAGGAGUCCACGCCACCGGCUCUGAGCAAAAGGGUAUCGACGCAAUUGAGCACAUCUCUCCGUAGGGGCCCCUGUCAACCGCCCUGAGCAACUGGAAUUUGUAGCUCGCACGACGACAACAGCGCUCGACACAUUCACUUCACUCUGAGCGCAACCUUCGGUCCAGUGCCACCCUUUCGUUCCCCAAGUGUCCUGCGUUGAAUCCCGUAGGAGUGCACCGUCCGCACCUCCGAGCAAUUGGGAGCAGCGCGCCAAGAUUCUGCCACCUGUAGGGCCCACCCGCAACCGGGCCCGAGUCAUUGGGUAGCAGCGAUCGACAAGAACGAAGUACGUGGGUAUACAACACGAUCGACGGUUCAACUAGGCAGCAGCACAAGCAACACCGCGCUCGACGAGCGCGCCAAACCAGCCCGCCACUCAGGCGUGGGCGUAUCAACUAAGCCACGAACGAUUCCACGAGCAGCAAACCGUCCACGGGACGGCAUUCCGGACCUGCCGGCCAAGCCGGCGAAGGUGGCCCUGCAGAGUACGAGGAGCAGAAGCACCGAACAGCAGAGCGAGAAUCAACGCGCGAGCAGCAGCGACCGCCGCAGACCAGCCAGGACACCGACGUAACCUAGGUUACCACCACAAGGUCAGAUCUUUCCUUUAUGUGUACACAUAACUAACCAUUCAUGCGCAUUAGUAUUAAGGCCCCUUGUAUUUAAUAAAUAAGUCGGAAGAAAAGUAAGCUCUGAGUCAAGGUGUCCAAUUUGUAAGCGUGGACUGAGCUGACUUAUGACUAUUUCCCUCCCCUAAUCUCUUAUCCUUUCAUGGCAAUAAAUUAGUAUGGACUUAA